rnacentral:lncRNA from 1 species
AGGUGAGAUUCUUUAUCCUAAAAUUUUCUCCAUGUAUUAUUGAUGUUUGCUAAUUUUGGCUAAUAAUAGAAUUAUUGUUACACAUUGCUUGAAUAAGUAUGUUGUUGUGUGAACUUUGCCCUCAAUUCUUGAUAUAGAUUUCAUUGCAUUUUGGAUGAGACUUAAGACUUCAAAUUGAAAUGGAUCUUACACCAUUUAGCUUUUCAUUGUUAAGAAGAAUCAUGACAUGUUUCAUACAAUCUUAGUGUGAUACCUAUUCAGUUUUUUCAUUGUUUCUUUUGGUAUGGUAUGCAUGCACUAUUAAGAAGAAUCAUGUCAUGUUUCAUACAAAGUUUUCAAAUGGAAUUUCAUAGAAGCAUUUGAUUAUAAUUGAACUUUUGGCCUGCCUUUAAUGCAGGCAACUAGCUUUCU